GUGCACCAGUCGAGAAUCCUCCGCAAUGCUCGAAAGAGCGACGGGGGACUCCGAGUGCCUACGCUCAGCGUAGGCUGUUCCCGAGCCUAAAACGCUCGGGGAGUAAGGGCUGGGUAAGACGGGUGCCAGCCGCCGCGGUAAUACCCGCAGCCCGAGUGGUGGCCGCUAUUAUUGGGCCUAAAGCGUCCGUAGCCGGCGUCGGUAAAAUGCCUGGGUAAAUCGUCUGGCCCAACCAGACGAAUUCCGGGUAGACUGCCGGGCUAGGGA
rnacentral:rRNA from 1 species